rnacentral:rRNA from 1 species
UACGUAGGGUGCAAGCGUUGUCCGGAAUUAUUGGGCGUAAAGAGCGUGUAGGCGGCCACGCAGGUCCGUUGUGAAAACUGGAGGCUCAACCUCCAGCUGUCGACGGAAACCGUAUGGCUAGAGUCCGGAAGAGGAGAGUGGAAUUCCUGGUGUAGCGGUGAAAUGCGCAGAUAUCAGGAAGAACACCAAUGGCGAAGGCAGCUCUCUGGGACGGUACUGACGCUGAGACGCGAAAGCGUGGGGAGCGAACAGG